rnacentral:pre_miRNA from 1 species
ACAUAUCAUCCUUCUGUUUCUAUACAUAUCAUCCUUCUGUUUCUAUACAUAGAAACAGAAUGAUGAUAUGUAUAGAAACAGAAUGAUGAUAUG